UACGUAGGUGACAAGCGUUGUCCGGAUUUACUGGGCGUAAAGAGCGCGUAGGCGGACUGUUAAGCGGGGCCGGAAAGCCCCCGGCUCAACCGGGGAAGGGGCCGCGAACUGGCAGUCUUGAGGGGGAGAGGGGAGAGCGGAAUUCCUGGUGUAGCGGUGAAAUGCGUAGAGAUCAGGAGGAACACCAAUGGCGAAGGCAGCUCUCUGGCUUCACCCUGACGCUGAGGCGCGAAAGCGUGGGGAGCGAACGGG
rnacentral:rRNA from 1 species